rnacentral:rRNA from 1 species
UGAGGAAUAUUGGGCAAUGCCCGCAAGGGUGACCCAGCAACGCCGCGUGGAGGAUGAAUGACGUAAGAUUGUAAACUCCUGUUAGAGGGGAAGAAUAGUACCGGUUGGACCGGUAUAUGACUGUACCCUCAGAGAAAGCCCCGGCUAACUACGUGCCAGCAGCCGCGGUAAUACGUAGGGGGCAAGCGUUGUCCGGAUUUACUGGGUGUAAAGGGCGCGCAGGCGGGAUAAAAAGUCAGUGGUGAAAUCCUACAGCUUAACUGUAGAACUGCCUUUGAUACUUUUAUUCUUGAGUUCGGGAGAGAGAGACGGAAUUCCAGGUGUAGUGGUGAAAUACGUAGAUAUCUGGAAGAACACCAGUUGCGAAGGCGGUCUCUUGGUCCGACACUGACGCUGAGGCGCGAAAGCGUGGGGAGCAAACA